UACGUAGGGUGCAAGCGUUGUCCGGAAUUACUGGGCGUAAAGAGCUCGUAGGUGGUUUGUCGCGUUGUUCGUGAAAUCUCACGGCUUAACUGUGAGCGUGCGGGCGAUACGGGCAGACUGGAGUACUGCAGGGGAGACUGGAAUUCCUGGUGUAGCGGUGGAAUGCGCAGAUAUCAGGAGGAACACCGGUGGCGAAGGCGGGUCUCUGGGCAGUAACUGACGCUGAGGAGCGAAAGCGUGGGGAGCGAACAGG
rnacentral:rRNA from 1 species